ACUCAGGUGUUGUUAAACAAGUACAAUUUAACUACAAGGAACAAUGUUUACACCAAUACCACAGUUAUAUAGCAGACACAAAAUGCCUUCCGCUAUUUUUGACUGUUAUAGCUCUUUUGCUGCAAUCCCGCUGCAUUAUGCGAUGGAGCAGUGAGCACCGGCUCCACACUACAGAAUCUCAGCAGGAGCAGUCGGUCAUCAGGUCGCCGAAUCACAUGCUAGGCAGCACUCAUGAUUAGUGCUGCUUUGGCGGGGAUUUCUCCAGGUGAAAGGUCAUGUACUGUCUGAGCCUCGUAGUGUUGACAACCCUGCAGCAAACAGCAACACCAAUAUCUAAACACUUAUCCUGCAUAGGGAACCUGGAGCCUAGCCCAGGGGGACCUAGCCACUUGGAACAUAUCCUGGACAGGGUACCAACCCACUACAAGACACAGUCACACAAACACUUACACACUCGUCAUCACGUCCCUUGCAUGCUCAGUAAUUCAGUUUGUAUAUUCAUCAUCACUCUGUAAUCUAUUUCCGGAGACUGUAUUUCUAAAUUAAAAAGUAAAAUGUUUGUGUGAUGUCCAUAACUGCAUGACAAAUCAGGCCUGACUAAUUGCAGCCUGGCUAAAAGCCAGCAAGUCUCCAGCAAGUGAAGGCCACUGGAGGAGCACAAACAACCAUGUCCAGUGCCUCUCUUUUUUUCAUGAGGUCAGCCUAUUACUCAGCCUCUCAUGACCAGUGACACCCUGACCUUGCUAACGUUGUUAUUGAUGACACGGCUAGCUUUUAGCUUUUCUUCCCAGAUAUGGUUGCUGAAAUCACAGCAAAGGCGUUCAGAGUAAGAAGGAAACCCCCUUCAUGAGGUGGUCCAGUGCGUAAUUGUUAUGGAAAGCUCUGUGGAGGCAACAGCCAUAUAAGGAAGAGGGAUGAACAAUAGCAGACUGAGCUAAAGUCACCCGAGUGAAGACAAUGAAGUCAGUUUAGAAGCUGGGCUGAAGUCAUGGGUCUCUACGCAAAAACAGUUAAUUACUGUAAUCCCCUCCCAAAGCUGGCAUGUCGCCAGUGCUUUUUCCAGCACUGAGAUCAGAUGCACAAAAUGCAGUCUGACAUCACUGAGGAAACCGAGAAGGAGCAUGGUCUUGCAAAUGCACACACACACACACACACACACACAAACACAUACUUAUACACUUCCUGCUCAACUCCUGACUUCCUGGAAAAGCUCAGCCCCGGUUGCUGGAAAUGGAGACUGCAGAGGGAGAAGAGCAAAACACAAGCAGCGUGAUGUGUGUGUGUGUGUGAGGAAAAGAGAAUGAUGAGCUCAUGUGAUUGGUGAGUAAGCACAUGAGCUCACUAUAAGACAAGCUCCGAUUCUGAUUGGAGGGCAGCAAUAUGCCGAGUGGUCGCAUCAGCUAAUCAGAUGGGAGGACAGGAUAGGCUGAGCGCUUGGAAGAUGUGAGUUCACGUGACGUGUACAUGGGUCACUCAGGUUGCGCAAGAUGCUCGUGAAACCACAGUUUCUCCCGUCAAUCAUGCCAAGCCCUGUUUCGAGCACUUUCACACAUUAAUGUUUACACAACAGUGUUGCAUGUCUGUCCUUAACCUGGGCAUAUCAAAAAGAAAACAGAGACAACCAUCUCAACCUCCUCCCUCAGCUGUGGGAGAAAGAUAAUAAACAAAAGUCUCUCAAGGAAAAGUACCAGAGUCAUCUAUAGUGCAGUGUUUUCAUCAAAACAUUGCAGCUGGUGUGUAACCUAUUUAAGAUUUGCUUAUUUAAGGACUUUUGAGGGAAGAGUGCUUGCAGAUUCGGCUGGAUUUUUGCAUUUGCAAUGGUUGUUAACUGGGAGAUAAAAAUCUAACACUACAUUCAAAAAUGAAAUAUUAUAGUUAAAGCAAGGCAUGAAUGAUGUCACCAUGUCAAUAAUUUUUCAUAGUUUUGGAUAAAUUACAUAUAUAACAUUGAAGUAUGUUAUAUUAAUAUUGAAGGUUUCAU